ensembl:lncRNA
GAAAUUCUGCUCUCCAUUCGAGCAUUGGGUCGAAGGUUUGCUCUCAGAUCUUCACACAGACCACAGAUGGUCAGCAGACAUGAGAGAUGGCCUCAGAGAAAUUUCCAUCAUCCUUGGAAUCCAUGCCUCACGGCCUGAACGAAUAAUCCCACACCGGUGGCUGUCAGUGCUGGAUGUGAGCCUGGACACAUUGCGCUUAUGGGAUGCAUUCGUCAUCUUUUACUAUGCCUUCCUGGGCAAUGAAGAUAGGGCAACAUACAAAGACAGUCAGUGGCAUCCUUGAAAAGCGUGGGGUACAAGAAGCUGGCUGGCUGGCUAAAGGAGUUGUGGAAGGAGUUGCGAAUCAGGUCCAAAAACUUCACAAAUGAAGGGAAGAUGAGAAAAGCUAGAAUUUACGGCACACAAUCCUCAACUCUUACAUUAUGCAGAAGAGGCAAAGCUCAAGAAGUAGAUAGUGACUAAAUAUGAUAAAUAUACUUAUUGUCAGUAUUUUUGUUAGUUGGUUUGUCAAGAAUUACAUUAAUUGUAACCAUUAUAGUGAUUGUUUUAAACUAAUAAUGCUCUUCUAUGCUUUGGGCAGGUGUUUUUCGAGGAGAAGAGAACACUGCUUGAGCUACACUUUUAUGUGUCUCUCCUUCCAAUGCUAAAACAAUACACCCUUCUCUUUCAAUGCAAGGAGCCGAAGAUCCACAGACUGCACGAUGAGCAAGAAAUACUCCUUAAAGAGUUCUUGUCCUGUUUCAUCAAGCCAGAGAAACUCGUAUGAGGCCACAUCCAUUCUCGAAAAGCUUGGAAAAAAACAUCCCUUGGCAAAGUCUUUCAAUAUGAAGCAUUUGAUGUGCCAUUGACCUGCCAGCAAAACUGCCUCUGGACAAUCCAGUUCUGAGGACCCUGUCAUGCUUGGACCCGAAUGCCCGGGGAAGCCAGCACAUCAUUCCUCACCUAAAGAAAUUGCUGGACAUGCUUCCAGCUGUGAAGCUUACAGAAGAGGAGAAAGCUGGUUUUCAGCAUGAAAUAUACAGAUAUGCAAGUGACAUGAUGUUGCCACCAAUGACGGAUGACACAAGAGUUGACCUGUGGUGGAAUGCAGUAAGACAAACAUUGAGGUACCCAACACUUGCCAAGAUGGCACUUUUUGCUUUAUGCCCUUUUCAUGGCCCUCAAGUAGAGUCUUCAUUUAGUAUGAUGGCCAACAUCAUGCAGGCCAAAACAAGCAGCCUUAAUGUGGAGACCUAUGAGGCCUAUGAAGUUGUAAAAUAUCAGCUGAAGGCCAUGCAGGUCUCAGCAAUUCAGCACUACUCCAGGCCGUCAAGGAACAGCCCCAUCAACCCAUCACUCGUACAAAAUCUCAAACUGUCAAGCCGGAGAUACAGGGCAGAGAACAAAAGGAGGGCAGAACUUCAUGCUCCCAAUCCAGCCCAAAAGAAGGCAGCCAAAGACUCAUUAGUGGCAUCAGCUUUCAAAGCCAGAAAGACUUAUCAAAAGCUGCGGCUGAAAGCAUUGAAAAAGCUUGCUGCCAAGAAAC